CCUACGGGAGGCAGCAGUGAGGAAUUUUGCGCAAUGGGGGAAACCCUGACGCAGCAACGCCGCGUGGGUGAAGAAGGCUUUCGGGUCGUAAAGCCCUGUCAGGUGGGAAGAAACUCUUCAGUACUAAUAAUGCUGAAGCCUGACGGUACCACCAGAGGAAGCACCGGCCAACUCCGUGCCAGCAGCCGCGGUAAUACGGAGGGUGCAAGCGUUGUUCGGAAUUAUUGGGCGUAAAGAGCGUGUAGGUGGCUUGGUAAGUCAGAUGUGAAAGCCCUGGGCUCAACCCAGGAAGUGCAUUUGAAACUACCAGACUUGAGUACGGGAGAGGAGGGGGGAAUUCCCGGUGUAGAGGUGAAAUUCGUAGAUAUCGGGAGGAAUACCGGUGGCGAAGGCGCCCCUCUGGACCGAUACUGACGCUGAGACGCGAAAGCGUGGGGAGCAAACAGGAUUAGAUACCCUGGUAGUCCACGCCGUAAACGAUGAGCACUAGGUGUAGCGGGUAUUGACCCCUGCUGUGCCGUAGCUAACGCAUUAAGUGCUCCGCCUGGGGACUACGGUCGCAAGACUAAAACUCAAAGGAAUUGACGG
rnacentral:rRNA from 1 species